rnacentral:rRNA from 1 species
CCUACGGGUGGCAGCAGUGGGGAAUAUUGCACAAUGGGGGAAACCCUGAUGCAGCGACGCCGCGUGAGUGAAGAAGUAAUUCGUUACGUAAAGCUCUAUCAGCAGGGAAGAAAAUGACGGUACCUGAGUAAGAAGACGCGGCUAACUACGUGCCAGCAGCCGCGGUAAGAAGUAGUGGGCGAGCGUUAUCCGGAGUUACUGGUUGUAAAGGGAGCGUAGACGGUGCGCCAAGUCUGGAGGGAAAUGCCGCGGCUUAACUGCGGAACUGCUUUGGAAACUGGCGAACUAGAGUGCGGGAGGGGUACGCGGAAUUCCGAGUGUAGCGGGGAAAUGCGUAGAUAUCAGGAGGAACACCGGCGGCGAAGGCGGCUUACUGGACUGUAACUGACGUUGAGGCUCGAAGGCGUGGGGAGCAAACAGGAUUAGAUACCCUAGUAGUC